CCUUAUCACUUUUCCCUCCUGUUUUUGAUUUGAAUACUGGACGGAGAACUGAUAAGGGC
rnacentral:pre_miRNA from 1 species